rfam:[Eubacterium] angustum strain DSM 1989 ETAN_contig000014, whole genome shotgun sequence.
GCUGGUGUGGCGCAACGGUAGCGCAACUGACUUGUAAUCAGUAGGUUGGGGGUUCAAGUCCUCUCACCAGCU